rnacentral:rRNA from 1 species
UACGAAGGGGGCUAGCGUUGCUCGGAAUUACUGGGCGUAAAGCGCACGUAGGCGGAUCUUUAAGUCAGGGGUGAAAUCCUGGAGCUCAACUCCAGAACUGCCUUUGAUACUGAGGACCUUGAGUUCGGGAGAGGUGAGUGGAACUGCGAGUGUAGAGGUGAAAUUCGUAGAUAUUCGCAAGAACACCAGUGGCGAAGGCGGCUCACUGGCCCGAUACUGACGCUGAGGUGCGAAAGCGAGGGGAGCAAACAGGG